AUUGAACGCUGGCGGCAUGCCUUACACAUGCAAGUCGAACGGUAACAGGUCUUCGGAUGCUGACGAGUGGCGAACGGGUGAGUAAUACAUCGGAACGUGCCUAGUAGUGGGGGAUAACUACUCGGAAGAGUGGCUAAUACCGCAUGAGAUCUACGGAUGAAAGCAGGGGAUCGCAAGACCUUGUGCUACUAGAGCGGCCGAUGGCAGAUUAGGUAGUUGGUGGGAUAAAAGCUUACCAAGCCGACGAUCUGUAGCUGGUCUGAGAGGACGAUCAGCCACACUGGGACGGAGACACGGCCCAGACUCCUACGGGAGGCGGCAGUGGGGAAUUUUGGACAAUGGGCGCAAGCCUGAUCCAGCAAUGCCGCGUGCAGGAUGAAGGCCUUCGGGUUGUAAACUGCUUUUGUACGGAACGAAAAGCCCCGGGUUAAUACCCUGGGGUCAUGACGGUACCGUAAGAAUAAGCACCGGCUAACUACGUGCCAGCCGCCGCCGUAA
rnacentral:rRNA from 1 species